GAAAUGCGAUAAGUAAUGUGAAUUGCAGAAUUCAGUGAAUCAUCGAAUCUUUGAACGCACAUUGCGCCCGCCAGUAUUCUGGCGGGCAUGCCUGUUCGAGCGUCAUUACAACCCUCAGGCCCCCGGGCCUGGCGUUGGGGAUCGGCGGAAGCCCCCUGCGGGCACAACGCCGUCCCCCAAAUACAGUGGCGGUCCCGCCGCAGCUUCCAUUGCGUAGUAGCUCACACCUCGCAACUGGAGAGCGGCGCGGCCACGCCGUAAAACACCCAACUUCUGAAUGUUGACCUCGAAUCAGGUAGGAAUACCCGCUGAACUUAAGC
rnacentral:misc_RNA from 1 species